rnacentral:rRNA from 1 species
GAUGAACGCUGGCGGCGUGCCUAAUACAUGCAAGUCGAGCGAACGGACGAGAAGCUUGCUUCUCUGAUGUUAGCGGCGGACGGGUGAGUAACACGUGGAUAACCUACCUAUAAGGCUGGGAUAACUUCGGGAAACCGGAGCUAAUACCGGAUAAUAUUUUGAACCGCAUGGUUCAAAAGUGAAAGACGGUCUUGCUGUCACUUAUAGAUGGAUACGCGCUGCAUUAGCUAGUUGGUAAGGUAACGGCUUACCAAGGCAACGAUGCAUAGCCGACCUGAGAGGGUGAUCGGCCACACUGGAACUGAGACACGGUCCAGACUCCUACGGGAGGCAGCAGUAGGGAAUCUUCCGCAAUGGGCGAAAGCCUGACGGAGCAACGCCGCGUGAGUGAUGAAGGUCUUCGGAUCGUAAAACUCUGUUAUUAGGGAAGAACAUAUGUGUAAGUAACUGUGCACAUCUUGACGGUACCUAAUCAGAAAGCCACGGCUAACUACGUG